AUGAACGCUAGCGACAGGCUUAACACAUGCAAGUCGAGGGGCAGCGGGGGAUAAGCUUGCUUUUCCUGCCGGCGACCGGCGCACGGGUGAGUAACACGUAUGCAACCUGCCCCUGUCAGAGGGAUAAUCCGGAGAAAUCCGGUCUAAUAUCGCAUAAAGCGUUUGCGGGGCAUCCUGCGAGCGCCAAAGGAGUAAUCCGGACAGGGAUGGGCAUGCGGCGCAUUAGCUAGUUGGGGGGGUAACGGCUCACCAAGGCGACGAUGCGUAGGGGUUCUGAGAGGAAGGUCCCCCACAUUGGUACUGAGACACGGACCAAACUCCUACGGGAGGCAGCAGUGAGGAAUAUUGGUCAAUGGCCGAGAGGCUGAACCAGCCAAGUCGCGUGAAGGAAGAAGGAUCUAUGGUUUGUAAACUUCUUUUAUAGGGGAAUAAAGUGGAGGACGUGUCCUUUUUUGUAUGUACCCUAUGAAUAAGCAUCGGCUAACUCCGUGCCAGCAGCCGCGGUAAUACGGAGGAUGCGAGCGUUAUCCGGAUUUAUUGGGUUUAAAGGGUGCGUAGGUGGUGAUUUAAGUCAGCGGUGAAAGUUUGUGGCUCAACCAUAAAAUUGCCGUUGAAACUGGGUUACUUGAGUGUGUUUGAGGUAGGCGGAAUGCGUGGUGUAGCGGUGAAAUGCAUAGAUAUCACGCAGAACUCCGAUUGCGAAGGCAGCUUACUAAACCAUAACUGACACUGAAGCACGAAAGCGUGGGGGAUCAAACAGGAUUAGAUACCCUGGGUAGUCCACGCAAG
rnacentral:rRNA from 1 species